rnacentral:rRNA from 1 species
AUUGAACGCUGGCGGAAUGCUUUACACAUGCAAGUCGAACGGCAGCACGGGUGCUUGCACCUGGUGGCGAGUGGCGAACGGGUGAGUAAUGCGUCGGAACGUGCCGAGUAAUGGGGGAUAACGCAGCGAAAGUUGUGCUAAUACCGCAUACGCCCUGAGGGGGAAAGUGGGGGAUCGCAAGACCUCACGUUAUUCGAGCGGCCGACGUCUGAUUAGCUAGUUGGUGGGGUAAAGGCCUACCAAGGCGACGACCAGUAGCGGGUCUGAGAGGAUGAUCCGCCACACUGGGACUGAGACACGGCCCAGACUCCUACGGGAGGCAGCAGUGGGGAAUUUUGGACAAUGGGCGCAAGCCUGAUCCAGCCAUGCCGCGUGAGUGAAGAAGGCCUCGGUU